rnacentral:rRNA from 1 species
CACGUAGGGGGCGAGCGUUGUCCGGAUUUAUUGGGCGUAAAGAGCUCGUAGGCGGUUCGGCAAGUCGGGUGUGAAAUUUCGAGGCUCAACCUCGAAACGCCACUCGAUACUGCUGUGACUGGAGUCCGGUAGAGGAGUGCGGAAUUCCUGGUGUAGCGGUGAAAUGCGCAGAUAUCAGGAGGAACACCAACGGCGAAGGCAGCACUCUGGGCCGGUACUGACGCUGAGGAGCGAACGCGUGGGGAGCAAACAGG